rnacentral:rRNA from 1 species
CGGAAUCCGGGAGGACCAUCUCCCAAGGCUAAAUACUCCCUAGUGACCGAUAGUGAACCAGUACCGUGAGGGAAAGGUGAAAAGCACCCCGGAAGGGGAGUGAAACAGUUCCUGAAACCGUGUGCCUACAAGUAGUUAGAGCCCGUUAAUGGGUGAUAGCGUGCCUUUUGUAGAAUGAACCGGCGAGUUACGAUUUGUUGCAAGGUUAAGCGGAAAAAGCGGAGCCGUAGCGAAAGCGAGUCUGAAUAGGGCGCAUAAGUAACAGGUCGUAGACCCGAAACCAGGUGAUCUACCCAUGUCCAGGAUGAAGGUAAGGUAAUACUUACUGGAGGUCCGAACCCACGCACGUUGAAAAGUGCGGGGAUGAGGUGUGGGUAGCGGAGAAAUUCCAAUCGAACUUGGAGAUAGCUGGUUCUCUCCGAAAUAGCUUUAGGGCUAGCCUCGAGGUAAAGAGUCAUGGAGGUAGAGCACUGUUUGGACUAGGGGCCCUUCUCGGGUUACCGAAUUCAGAUAAACUCCGAAUGCCAUGUACUUAUACUCGGGAGUCAGACUGCGAGUGAUAAGAUCCGUAGUCGAAAGGGAAACAGCCCAGACCACCAGUUAAGGUCCCCAAAUAUAUGUUAAGUGGAAAAGGAUGUGGGGUUGCUUAGACAACCAGGAUGUUGGCUUAGAAGCAGCCACCAUUGAAAGAGUGCGUAAUAGCUCACUGGUCGAGUGACCCCGCGCCGAAAAUGUACCGGGGCUAAACAUAUUACCGAAACUGUGGAUGAACCUCUUUAGAGGUUCGUGGUAGGAGAGCGUUCUAAGGGCGGUGAAGUCAGACCGGAAGGACUGGUGGAGCGCUUAGAAGUGAGAAUGCCGGUAUGAGUAGCGAAAGAAGGGUGAGAAUCCCUUCCACCGAAUAUCUAAGGUUUCCUGAGGAAGGCUCGUCCGCUC